ACCAUAAUUAUCUAUAACAUGCUUUACAAAAUAGGAGACACUACAAGAGUGAAAUAGCCCUUUAAAAACCCUAGCACCAGAGUUGCACAACACAUUGCCAUGCCAAGGAAGUUGCUGUCUCCUUGAUCACUCUAGGGAGGUGCUUAAUAUAUCUUCCUAAAUUGGGUCAGCUGAGAAUCUAAAAAUGCAUAUAAAUUUAAAAG